AACGAACGCUGGCGGCAUGCCUAACACAUGCAAGUCGAACGAGACCUUCGGGUCUAGUGGCGCACGGGUGCGUAACGCGUGGGAAUCUGCCCUUGGGUUCGGAAUAACAGUUGGAAACGACUGCUAAUACCGGAUGAUGACGUAAGUCCAAAGAUUUAUCGCCCAGGGAUGAGCCCGCGUAGGAUUAGCUAGUUGGUUGGGUAAAGGCCUACCAAGGCGACGAUCCUUAGCUGGUCUGAGAGGAUGAUCAGCCACACUGGGACUGAGACACGGCCCAGACUCCUACGGGAGGCAGCAGUGGGGAAUAUUGGACAAUCGGCGAAAGCCUGAUCCAGCAAUGCCGCGUGAGUGAUGAAGGCCUUAGGGUUGUAAAGCUCUUUUACCCGGGAUGAUAAUGACAGUACCGGGAGAAUAAGCCCCGGCUAACUCCGUG
rnacentral:rRNA from 1 species